AUUGAACGCUGGCGGCAUGCUUUACACAUGCAAGUCGAACGGCAGCGCGGGCUUCGGCCUGGCGGCGAGUGGCGAACGGGUGAGUAAUACAUCGGAACGUGCCCAGUAGUGGGGGAUAGCUCGGCGAAAGCCGGAUUAAUACCGCAUACGACCUGAGGGUGAAAGCGGGGGAUCUUCGGACCUCGCGCUAUUGGAGCGGCCGAUGGCAGAUUAGCUAGUUGGUGGGGUAAAGGCCUACCAAGGCGACGAUCUGUAGCUGGUCUGAGAGGACGACCAGCCACACUGGGACUGAGACACGGCCCAGACUCCUACGGGAGGCAGCAGUGGGGAAUUUUGGACAAUGGGCGAAAGCCUGAUCCAGCAAUGCCGCGUGUGUGAUGAAGGCCUUCGGGUUGUAAAGCACUUUUGGCGGGAACGAAAAGGACUGUGCCAAUACCACGGUUCGAUGACGGUACCCGCAGAAUAAGCUCCGGCUAACUACGUG
rnacentral:rRNA from 1 species